UCCCAGACUCCUACGGGAGGCAGCAGUGGGGGAUAUUGCACAAUGGGGGGAACCCUGAUGCAGCGACGCCGCGUGGGUGAAGGAGUAUUUCGGUAUGUAAAGCCCUAUCGGCAGGGAAGAAGCAAGACGGUACCUGACUAAGAAGCCCCGGCUAACUACGUGCCAGCAGCCGCGGUAAUACGUAGGGGGCGAGCGUUAUCCGGAUUCACUGGGUGUAAAGGGAGCGUAGGCGGUAUGUCAAGUCAAGGGUGAAAUCCCCGCGCUCAACGUGGGAACUGCCUUUGAAACUGGCAAACUGGAGUGUGUGAGAGGAUAGUGGAAUUCCAGGUGUAGGAGUGAAAUCCGUAGAUAUCUGGAGGAACAUCAGUGGCGAAGGCGACUAUCUGGCACAUAACUGACGCUGAGGAGCGAAAGCGUGGGUAGCAAACAGGAUUAGAUACCCUGGUA
rnacentral:rRNA from 1 species